GUAGGUGGCAAGCGUUGUCCGGGAAUUAUUGGGGCGUAAAGCGCGCGCAGGCGGUUCUUUAAGUCUGAUGUGAAAGCCCACGGGCUCAACCGUGGAGGGUCAUUGGAAACUGGAGAACUUGAGUACAGAAGAGGAAAGCGGAAUUCCACGUGUAGCGGUGAAAUGCGUAGAGAUGUGGAGGAACACCAGUGGCGAAGGCGGCUUUCUGGUCUGUAACUGACGCUGAGGCGCGAAAGCGUGGGGAGCAAACAGGAUUGGAUACCCUGGUAGUCCACGCCGUAAACGAUGAGUGCUAAGUGUUAGGGGGUUUCCGCCCCUUAGUGCUGCAGCUAACGCAUUAAGCACUCCGCCUGGGGAGUACGGCCGCAAAGGCUGA
rnacentral:rRNA from 1 species